UACAGAGGUGGCAAGCGUUGUUCGGAAUUACUGGGCGUAAAGGGCGCGUAGGCGGUCUUUUAAGUCUUGUGUGAAAUCCCUCGGCUCAACUGAGGAACUGCACGGGAUACUGGAAGACUUGAGUUCGGGAGAGGGAAGCGGAAUUCCGGGUGUAGCGGUGAAAUGCGUAGAUAUCCGGAGGAACACCGGUGGCGAAGGCGGCGUCCUGGACCGAUCACUGACGCUGAGGCGCGAAAGCUAGGGGAGCAAACGGG
rnacentral:rRNA from 1 species